rnacentral:rRNA from 1 species
UGGAAGGAAAAAAGUAACAAGGUCUCCGUUGGUGAACCAGCGGAGGGAUCAUUACCGAGUUUACAACUCCCAAACCCAAUGUGAACGUUACCAAACUGUUGCCUCGGCGGGGUCACGCCCCGGGUGCGUCGCAGCCCCGGAACCAGGCGCCCGCCGGAGGAACCAACCAAACUCUUUCUGUAGUCCCCUCGCGGACGUAUUUCUUUACAGCUCUGAGCAAAAAUUCAAAAUGAAUCAAAACUUUCAACAACGGAUCUCUUGGUUCUGGCAUCGAUGAAGAACGCAGCGAAAUGCGAUAAGUAAUGUGAAUUGCAGAAUUCAGUGAAUCAUCGAAUCUUUGAACGCACAUUGCGCCCGCCAGUAUUCUGGCGGGCAUGCCUGUCCGAGCGUCAUUUCAACCCUCGAACCCCUCCGGGGGAUCGGCGUUGGGGAUCGGGACCCCUCACACGGGCGCCGGCCCCUAAAUACAGUGGCGGUCUCGCCGCAGCCUCUCCUGCGCAGUAGUUUGCACAACUCGCACCGGGAGCGCGGCGCGUCCACGUCCGUAAAACACCCAACUUUCUGAAAUGUUGACCUCGGAUCAGGUAGGAAUACCCGCUGAACUUAAGCAUACGAAAGCGGAAGA